rfam:Acidobacteriales bacterium 13_1_40CM_3_55_5 13_1_40cm_3_scaffold_6394, whole genome shotgun sequence.
GCCGACGUAGCUCAGUCUGGUAGAGCAGCCGAUUCGUAAUCGGCAGGUCAGCGGUUCAAGUCCGCUCGUCGGCU